UACGAAGGGGGGCUAGCGUUGCUCGGAAUUACUGGGCGUAAAGCGCACGUAGGCGGCUUCUUAAGUCGGUGGUGAAAUCCUGGAGCUCAACUCCAGAACUGCCUUCGAUACUGGGAAGCUCGAGUCCGGGAGAGGUGAGUGGAACUGCGAGUGUAGAGGUGAAAUUCGUAGAUAUUCGCAAGAACACCAGUGGCGAAGGCGGCUCACUGGCUCGGUACUGACGCUGAGGUGCGAAAGCGUGGGGAGCAAACAGG
rnacentral:rRNA from 1 species